rnacentral:rRNA from 1 species
UGGGGAAUAUUGCACAAUGGGGGAAACCCUGAUGCAGCGACGCCGCGUGAGCGAAGAAGGCUUUCGAGUCGUAAAGCUCUGUCCUAUGAGAAGAUAAUGACGGUAUCAUAGGAGGAAGCCCUGGCUAAAUACGUGCCAGCAGCCGCGGUAAUACGUAUGGGGCGAGCGUUAUCCGGAAUUAUUGGGCUUAAAGGGCAUCUAGGCGGUAAGACAAGUUGAAGGUGAAAACCUGUGGCUCAACCAUAGGCUUGCCUACAAAACUGUUGAACUAGAGUACUGGAAAGGUGGGUGGAACUACACGAGUAGAGGUGAAAUUCGUAGAUAUGUGUAGGAAUGCCGAUGAUGAAGAUAACUCACUGGACAGAAACUGACGCUGAAGUGCGAAAGCUAGGGGAGCAAACAGG